rnacentral:rRNA from 1 species
GAUGAACGCUGGCGGCGUGCCUAAUACAUGCAAGUCGAGCGAACGGACGAGAAGCUUGCCUCUCUGAUGUUAGCGGCGGACGGGUGAGUAACACGUGGAUAACCUACCUAUAAGACUGGGAUAACUUCGGGAAGCCGGAGCUAAUACCGGAUAAUAUUUUGAACCGCAUGGUUCAAAAGUAAAAGACGGUCUUGCUGUCACUUAUAGAUGGAUCCGCGCUGCAUUAGCUAGUUGGUAAGGUAACGGCUUACCAAGGCAACGAUGCAUAGCCGACCUGAGAGGGUGAUCGGCCACACUGGAACUGAGACACGGUCCAGACUCCUACGGGAGGCAGCAGUAGGGAAUCUUCCGCAAUGGGCGAAAGCCUGACGGAGCAACGCCGCGUGAGUGAUGAAGGUCUUCGGAUCGUAAAACUCUGUUAUUAGGGAAGAACAUAUGUGUAAGUAACUGUGCACAUCUUGACGGUACCUAAUCAGAAAGCCACGGCUAACUACGUG